CAAGGCAUGAAAAAUGGUCACAAAAUGUAAGGUGUCAAAAACUGUCAAAAAAAUGCCAUAGUAUAGUUAAGUGUCAAAAAUGGUCAAAAAAUGUAAGGUGUCAAAAACUGUUAAAAAAUGUCAUAGUAUAGUAAGGCGUCAGAAACCCUCAAAAAAUGUCAUGGUAGUAAGGCAUGAAAAAUGGUCCAAAAAAUGUUAUAGAAUAGUAAGGCGUCAAAAACCAUCGAAAAAUGUCAUAGUAGGGUGUCAAAAAUGGUCAAAAAAUGUCAUAGUAUAAUAAGGUGUCCGAAAUGGUCAAAACCAUCGAAAAAUGUCAUAGUAUAGUAAUAUGUCAAAAAAUGUCA